rnacentral:rRNA from 1 species
GACGAACGCUGGCGGCGUGCCUAAUACAUGCAAGUCGAACGCAGUGGGGACAGUUGAGGAACACGUGGGUAACCUCCCAUCAGAGGGGAUAACACUUGGAAACAGGUGCUAAACCCAUACUGGAUGAUGGACCCGGGGUGCAUUAGCUAGUUGGUGGGGUAACGGCGCACCAAGGCCACGAUGCAUAGCCGGCCUGAGAGGGUGACCGGCCACACUGGGACUGAGACACGGCCCAGACUCCUACGGGAGGCAGCAGUAGGGAAUCUUCGGCAAUGGACGAAAGUCUGACCGAGCAACGCCGCGUGUGUGAAGAAGGUUUUCGGAUCGUAAAGCUCUGUUGUCAGAGAAGCGGUAUCCACACAGAAAGCAACGGCUAACUACGUGCCAGCAGCCGCGGUAAUUC